rnacentral:rRNA from 1 species
UACGAAGGGGCUAGCGUUGUUCGGAAUCACUGGGCGUAAAGGGCGCGUAGGCGGCUUGAUAAGUCGGGGUGAAAGCCUGUGGCUCAACCACAGAAUUGCCUUCGAUACUGUCGAGCUUGAGACCGGAAGAGGUAAGUGGAACUGCGAGUGUAGAGGUGAAAUUCGUAGAUAUUCGGCAAGAACACCAGUGGCGAAGGCGGCUUACUGGUCCGGUUCUGACGCUGAGGCGCGAAAGCGUGGGGAGCAAACAGG